AGAGUUUGAUCAUGGCUCAGAACGAACGCUGGCGGCAGGCUUAACACAUGCAAGUCGAGCGCGGUCUUCGGACCGAGCGGCGAACGGGUGAGUAACGCGUGGGAACGUGCCUUUCGGUGGGGAACAACCUGGGGAAACUCAGGCUAAUUCCGCAUACGCCCUCAGGGGGAAAGAUUUAUCGCCGAAAGAUCGGCCCGCGUUGGAUUAGGUUGUUGGUGGGGUAAAAGCCCACCAAGCCGACGAUCCAUAGCUGGUUUGAGAGGAUGAUCAGCCACACUGGGACUGAGACACGGCCCAGACUCCUACGGGAGGCAGCAGUGAGGAAUCUUGGACAAUGGGGGAAACCCUGAUCCAGCCAUGCCGCGUGAUUGAGAAGGCUUUAGGGUUGUAAAGNUC
rnacentral:rRNA from 1 species